rnacentral:rRNA from 1 species
GCUUGCAACAUAGUGUUAAUGCACCGAAUCCCAUUAGAACUCUGUAGUUAAGCACGCUCGAGCUAGAGUAGUACUAGGAUGGGUGAUAGCUCGGGAAGUCUUAUUAUUUUGCAUGCC